ACCUGCCUGGCUCAGUUGGUAGAGUAUGCGACUCUUGAUCUCAGGGUCAUGAGUUCAAGCCCCAUGUUGGGCA
rnacentral:tRNA from 1 species